GAUGAACGCUGACAGAAUGCUUAACACAUGCAAGUCAACUUGAACUUCGGUUUGGGUGGCGGACGGGUGAGUCACGCGUAAAGAACUUGCCUCACAGAUAGGGACAACAUUUGGAAACGAAUGCUAAUACCUGAUAUUAUGAUUAUAUGGCAUCGUAUAAUUAUGAAAGCUAUAUGCGCUGUGAGAGAGCUUUGCGUCCCAUUAGCUAGUUGGAGAGGUAACGGCUCACCAAGGCGAUGAUGGGUAGCCGGCCUGAGAGGGUGAUCGGCCACAAGGGGACUGAGACACGGCCCUUACUCCUACGGGAGGCAGCAGUGGGGAAUAUUGGACAAUGGACCAAGAGUCUGAUCCAGCAAUUCUGUGUGCACGAUGAAGUUUUUCGGAAUGUAAAGUGCUCUCAGUUGGGAAGAAAAAAAUGACGGUACCAACAGAAGAAGUGACGGCUAAAUACGUG
rnacentral:rRNA from 1 species